rnacentral:rRNA from 1 species
CCUACGGGUGGCAGCAGUAGGGAAUAUUGCUCAAUGGGGGAAACCCUGAAGCAGCAACGCCGCGUGGAGGAUGAAGGUUUUCGGAUUGUAAACUCCUUUUGUUAGAGAAGAGAAUUACGGUAUCUAACGAAUACUCACCGUCGAACUCCGUUCCAGCAGCCGCGGCACUACGGAGGGUGCAAGCGGUACUCGGAAUCACUGGGCGUAAAGCGCGCGUAGGCGGGAUAGCAAGUCAGAUGUGAAAUCCUAUGGCUUAACCGUAGAACUGCAUUUGAAACUGUUAGUCUAGAGUAUGGGAGAGGUAGGUGGAAUUCUUGGUGUAGGGGUGAAAUCCGUAGAGAUCAAGAGGAAUACUCAUUGCGAAGGCGACCUGCUAGAACAUAACUGACGCUGAUGCGCGAAAGCGUGGGGAGCAAACAGGAUUAGAUACCCUAGUAGUC